ACGGGAGACACACGGCGGGUGCUAACGUCCGUCGUGAAGAGGGAAACAACCCAGACCGCCAGCUAAGGUCCCAAAGUCAUGGUUAAGUGGGAAACGAUGUGGGAAGGCCCAGACAGCCAGGAUGUUGGCUUAGAAGCAGCCAUCAUUUAAAGAAAGCGUAAUAGCUCACUGGUCGAGUCGGCCUGCGCGGAAGAUGUAACGGGGCUAAACCAUGCACCGAAGCUGCGGCAGCGACACUAUGUGUUGUUGGGUAGGGGAGCGUUCUGUAAGCCUGUGAAGGUGUGCUGUGAGGCAUGCUGGAGGUAUCAGAAGUGCGAAUGCUGACAUAAGUAACGAUAAAGCGGGUGAAAAGCCCGCUCGCCGGAAGACCAAGGGUUCCUGUCCAACGUUAAUCGGGGCAGGGUGAGUCGACCCCUAAGGCGAGGCCGAAAGGCGUAGUCGAUGGGAAACAGGUUAAUAUUCCUGUACUUGGUGUUACUGCGAAGGGGGGACGGAGAAGGCUAUGUUGGCCGGGCGACGGUUGUCCCGGUUUAAGCGUGUAGGCUGAUUUUCCAGGCAAAUCCGGAAAAUCAAGGCUGAGGCGUGAUGACGAGGCACUACGGUGCUGAAGCAACAAAUGCCCUGCUUCCAGGAAAAGCCUCUAAGCAUCAGGUAACAUCAAAUCGUACCCCAAACCGACACAGGUGGUCAGGUAGAGAAUACCAAGGCGCUUGAGAGAACUCGGGUGAAGGAACUAGGCAAAAUGGUGCCGUAACUUCGGGAGAAGGCACGCUGAUAUGUAGGUGAAGCGACUUGCUCGUGGAGCUGAAAUCAGUCGAAGAUACCAGCUGGCUGCAACUGUUUAUUAAAAACACAGCACUGUGCAAACACGAAAGUGGACGUAUACGGUGUGACGCCUGCCCGGUGCCGGAAGGUUAAUUGAUGGGGUUAGCGGUAACGCGAAGCUCUUGAUCGAAGCCCCGGUAAACGGCGGCCGUAACUAUAACGGUCCUAAGGUAGCGAAAUUCCUUGUCGGGUAAGUUCCGACCUGCACGAAUGGCGUAAUGAUGGCCAGGCUGUCUCCACCCGAGACUCAGUGAAAUUGAACUCGCUGUGAAGAUGCAGUGUACCCGCGGCAAGACGGAAAGACCCCGUGAACCUUUACUAUAGCUUGACACUGAACAUUGAGCCUUGAUGUGUAGGAUAGGUGGGAGGCUUUGAAGUGUGGACGCCAGUCUGCAUGGAGCCGACCUUGAAAUACCACCCUUUAAUGUUUGAUGUUCUAACGUUGGCCCGUUAUCCGGGUUGCGGACAGUGUCUGGUGGGUAGUUUGACUGGGGCGGUCUCCUCCUAAAGAGUAACGGAGGAGCACGAAGGUUGGCUAAUCCUGGUCGGACAUCAGGAGGUUAGUGCAAUGGCAUAAGCCAGCUUGACUGCGAGCGUGACGGCGCGAGCAGGUGCGAAAGCAGGUCAUAGUGAUCCGGUGGUUCUGAAUGGAAGGGCCAUCGCUCAACGGAUAAAAGGUACUCCGGGGAUAACAGGCUGAUACCGCCCAAGAGUUCAUAUCGACGGCGGUGUUUGGCACCUCGAUGUCGGCUCAUCACAUCCUGGGGCUGAAGUAGGUCCCAAGGGUAUGGCUGUUCGCCAUUUAAAGUGGUACGCGAGCUGGGUUUAGAACGUCGUGAGACAGUUCGGUCCCUAUCUGCCGUGGGCGCUGGAGAACUGAGGGGGGCUGCUCCUAGUACGAGAGGACCGGAGUGGACGCAUCACUGGUGUUCGGGUUGUCAUGCCAAUGGCACUGCCCGGUAGCUAAAUGCGGAAGAGAUAAGUGCUGAAAGCAUCUAAGCACGAAACUUGCCCCGAGAUGAGUUCUCCCUGACUCCUUGAGAGUCCUGAAGGAACGUUGAAGACGACGACGUUGAUAGGCCGGGUGUGUAAGCGCAGCGAUGCGUUGAGCUAACCGGUACUAAUGAACCGUGAGGCUUAACCUU
rnacentral:rRNA from 1 species